rnacentral:rRNA from 1 species
CCUACGGGUGGCAGCAGUGAGGAAUAUUGGUCAAUGGACGAGAGUCUGAACCAGCCAAGUAGCGUGAAGGAUGACUGCCCUAUGGGUUGUAAACUUCUUUUAUAUGGGAAUAAAAUGUUCCACGUGUUGGAGUUUGUAUGUACCAUAUGAAUAAGGAUCGGCUAACUCCGUGCCAGCAGCCGCGGUAAUACGGAGGAUCCGAGCGUUAUCCGGAUUUAUUGGGUGUAAAGGGAGCGUAGGUGGAUUGUUAAGUCAUUUGUGAAAGUUUGCGGCUCAACCGUAAAAUUACAGUUGAAACUGGCAGUCUUGAGUACAGUAGAGGUGGGCGGAAUUCGUGGUGUAGCGGUGAAAUGCUUAGAUAUCACGAAGAACUCCGAUUGCGAAGGCAGCUCACUGGACUGCAACUGACACUGAGGCUCGAAAGUGUGGGUAUCAAACAGGAUUAGAUACCCCUGUAGUC